rnacentral:rRNA from 1 species
AUGGUAGUGCAGGGGAGGCUCCGGGGGGCCGACCUCGACGCUGUCGACGAUCUUCUGGACCAUUUCAUACACCUCGCUCAUCUUCGGGCGCGUCUUCGGUAGCCGCAGGAGGCAGCGGUUUGCCACGCCGGCCAGCUUUGUCAUGGACUUGAGGUCGUAGUGGCCCUCAAGACGCGGGUCGACGAUGAUGGGGAACCGCUUGACGUCCGAGAUGUACGGUUUCACCCAGUCCAGGAGCUUCUGCUCGCCCUUUGGGCGGUUCCGAUCGAUGGGACGCCGGCCGGUGAUGAGCUCGUAGAGGAGCACGCCGUAGCCCCAUAUGUCGCUUUUUGCGGUGAGGCGCCCGGUUUGCAUGUAUUCGGGCGCGGCGUAUCCUAG